GGCUCCGCGCGGUGCAGGACCUGCAGACGCGGCGGGCUGGGGCGGAGGAGCUCAGUGAUGAUCGACAUUCUAGAUGCAAGUUCUUCUGCUGGGAAGGCUCAUUCCCAGGCCAUCUCACCCCGCAUAGGGGAAAAGAGGACAGAUGCGGUGGGCGCUUAAGAACUUCAUGAGGCCUCAAGGCCAAGGUUGAUUGGCACGGGGUCUGUCAGGCCGUCUGCUACGAAGGAGCCACACAUGCCGGAUGGCUUCUGAGCAUCUAACUAGCAUCCUCGGGGUUUUUUGGUUGACUUUGGACAUCUAGAAACACAAAGUCUAAUCAAUUUAAGAAUGAAAAAUAUGGGCCGGGCGUGGUGGCUCAUGCCUGUAAUCCCAGCACUUUGGGAGGCCGAGGCGCGUGGAUCACGUUGAGGUCAGGAGUUUGAGACCAGCCUGGGCAACAUGGUGAAACUGCACCUCUACUAAAAAUACAAAAAUUAGCCGGGUGUGGUGGCAGGCGCCUGUAAUCCCAGCUACUUGGGAGGCUGAAGCAGGAGAAUCGCUUGAACUCGGGAGGCGGAGGUUGCAGUGAGCUGAGAUCGUGCCACUGUACUCCAGCCUGGCAACAGAGCGAGACUCUGCCUCAAAAAAAAAAAAAAAAAAAAAUAUGACACAGAUAAGGGCAAGUAUUAACAAUUUGAAAUCUAGAACUGAAGAGUGCUUCUAUUUCUGAAGGUAACCAGAUACCUAUUUUGUCCCCUUCUGGUCCUGGCCUGAAGAACAAGAUGUUGAAGUUCUCCAGUGAUGAAAACGUCCUCUCUGGCGAGGCUGCGGGGUGUGGUCUCAUCUAUUGUGGUUGGAGGAAGUCCUAUAUUUGAUGCUUUUCUCAUAAAAUCUCCAGGUUGGAGACCUUGAUCUUUCAUGUCUUCAUCUCCUGAGAACUUGCUGUUAACAGGAUCCUUAAUUAAUUUAGAAUGUGCAGUGAGAAGCUAGGGUCUUGGCAAUAAUGAAGAAUAUCGCCUUUAAGGGGAGCUGGUUUGGAGGCUCCUUCAUCCAGGCACAGGGCCUUGCUGGUAUUAUUUCGAAGAGAGAAAGCUCAUGUUUUCCAAACAGGGCAGAACCGCAGUUCAGCACCACAGUGGAAACACCUUAGGCCAGGGAGUGUUAGAAGCUGGUUUCAGCUUUGCAGAUGGGUUUUCUAUUAUCCCACCUGUGCGUUCCACAGUCUGGAAGAUGGAGGAGGGCUGCGAGCACAAUGGGAAUGCCAAUCCCUCCAAUCCCAGCCAGCUUUCACUAUGCAAGGUAAGAUGUCCAUCAAUCUUUUUUUCUUUAUUCUUUUUUUUUUUUUUUUUUCAGAGAGAGACGAGGUUUCUUCAUGUUGUCCAGGCUGAUCUGGAACUCCUGGGCUCAAGCGACCCUCCUAUCUCGGCCUCCAAAAGUGCUGGGAUUACAGGCAUGAGGCACCAUGCCCGGCCAAUAAAUCUUUUUUUUUUUUUUUUUUUUUUUGAGACAGGGUCUCCCUCUUGUUGCUCAGGCUGGAGUGCAACGGUGUGAUCUUGGCUCACUGCAGCCUCUGCCUCCCAAGCUCAAAUAAUCCUCCUGCCUCAGCCUCCCAAGUAGAUGGGACUACAGACCUGCACCACCAUGCCUGGCUAAUUUUUGUAUUUUGUGUAGAGACAGGGUUUCACCACGUUGCGCAGGCUGGUCUCCAACUCCUGGAUUCAAGUGAUCUGUCUGCCUUGGUCUCCCAAAGUGCAUUAACUACAGUUGUAAGUCGGUAACCUCAAGUUUAGUGAAAAAACCUAGGAAGGAGUUUUAAACUGUUUAUAUCAGUAUUUUUAGAUGAAAACCAUUUCAUAAUUUUUUUUUUUUUUUUAGACAGUCUUGCUCUGUCGCCCAGGCUGGAGUGCUGUGGCACGAUCUCAGCUCACUGCAAGCUCCGCCUCCCGGGUUUACACCAUUCUCCUGCCUCAGACUCCUGAGUAGCUGGGACUACAGGCACCCGCCACCACACCUGGCUAAUUUUUUUGUAUUUUUAGUAGAGAUGGGGUUUCACUGUGUUAGCCAGGAUGGUCUCAAUCUCCUGACCUCGUGAUCUGCCCACCUCAGCCUCCCAAAGUGCUGGGAUUACAGGCGUGAGCCACCGCGGCCAGCCCAUUUAAUAACUUUUUAGGAAGAUGUUUCCUCAAUUUUUUGCUUAUUAACAGAUCUAAAUAUUUUUAACUUUUCUAUACCAUGUAAAAAUACAAUGCCAAAGUAUAUCAAUUUAAAAUUGUGUUUAAUGAUUGUUUCAGUAUUUUAACUCACUUAAAAAUAACCUCAGACAUGUUGUGGCCAGUCGCAGUGUCUCACGCCUGUAAUCCCAGCACUUUGGGAGGCCGAGGUGGGCGGAUCAUGAGGUCAGGAGUUCGAGACCAUCCUGGCCAACAUGGUGAAACCCUGUCUCUAUUAAAAAUACAAAAAUUAGCUGGGCGUGGUGGCGUGCGCCUGUAGUACCAUCUACCCAGGAGGCUGAGGCAGGAGAAUCGCUUGAACCCGGGAGGCAGAUAUUGCAGUGAGCCGAGAUCGUGCCACUACACUCCAACCUGGUGACAAAGCGAGACUGUCUCAAAAAAUAAAAUAAAAAUAAAAAAUAUCCUCAGACAUGUGAUUGAUACGGUUUGGCUCUGUGUCCCCACCCAAAUCUUAUGUUCAAUUGUGAUCCGCAUGUGUCAGGGGAGGGGCCUGGUGGGAGGUGACUGGAUCAUGGGGGUGGAUUUCCCUGUUGGUGUUCUCACAAUAGUGAGGGAGUUCUCACGAGAUCUGCUGGUUUAAAGUGUAUGGUGCUUCCCCCUUCACACUCUCUCUCUCUCUCUCUCCCCCGCUCUGCCAUGGGAAGAUGUGCCUUGCUUCCCCUUCACCUUCUGCCGUGAGUGUAAGUUUCCUGAGGCCUCCCAGUCAUGCUUCCUGUACAGCCUGCAGAACUGAGUCCAUUAAACCCCUUUUCUUCAUAAA